rnacentral:rRNA from 1 species
AUUGAACGCUGGCGGCAUGCCUUACACAUGCAAGUCGAACGGCAGCACGGGUGCUUGCACCUGGUGGCGAGUGGCGAACGGGUGAGUAAUACAUCGGAACGUACCUUAUCGUGGGGGAUAACGCAGCGAAAGCUGUGCUAAUACCGCAUACGCCCUGAGGGGGAAAGCGGGGGAUCGCAAGACCUCGCGCGAUUAGAGCGGCCGAUGCCUGAUUAGCUAGUUGGUGGGGUAAAAGCCCACCAAGGCGACGAUCAGUAGCUGGUCUGAGAGGACGAUCAGCCACACUGGGACUGAGACACGGCCCAGACUCCUACGGGAGGCAGCAGUGGGGAAUUUUGGACAAUGGGGGCAACCCUGAGCCAGCAAUGCCGCGUGAGUGAAGAAGGCCUUCGGGUUGUAGAGCUCUUUUGUCAGGGAAGAAACACCGGCUCUAACACAGUCCGGGAAUGACGGUACCUGAAGAAUAAGCACCGGCUAACUACGUGCCAGCCGCCGCAGUAA